rnacentral:rRNA from 1 species
GACGUAGGGCGCGAGCAUUGUCCGGAUUUAUUGGGCGUAAAGAGCUCGUAGGCGGCUUGUCGCGUCGAAUGUGAAAACCUGCAGCUCAACUGCAGGCUUGCAUUCGAUACGGGCAGGCUCGAGUUCGGUAGGGGAGACUGGAAUUCCUGGUGUAGCGGUGAAAUGCGCAGAUAUCAGGAGGAACACCGGUGGCGAAGGCAGGUCUCUGGGCAUUAACUGACGCUGAGGAGCGAAAGCAUGGGGGAGCGAACAGG